CACGUAGGGCGCAAGCGUUGUCCGGAAUUAUUGGGCGUAAAGCGCUCGCAGGCGGUCCGAUGCGUCGUGCGUGAAAGACCCCGGCUCAACUGGGGAGGGUCGUGCGAUACGGUCGGACUCGAGGCCAGUAGGGGGACGCGGAAUUCCGGGUGUAGUGGUGGAAUGCGUAGAGAUCCGGAAGAACACCGGUGGCGAAGGCGCUCUGCUAGGCCGUAACUGACACUGGGGGACGAAAGCUAGGGGAGCGAAUGGG
rnacentral:rRNA from 1 species